rnacentral:tRNA from 1 species
GGAUUGUGGCUUAGAGGUGGAGCACUUGCCUAGCAUGCGUGAUGCACUGGGUUCGAUCCUCAGCACCA